rnacentral:lncRNA from 1 species
AUGGCUGAGGAGACUGUGUUAGCGGACACCGGGUCAUGGUGGAGUGCCGACUGGUUACCCUCAUGGUGCCCAACAUCUAAGGACCAGUUGAAGCAGGCAGAAGAGAGGAUGCUGCAGAACAUCGCAAGCAAGCUCUGCAGGCAGUCUGUCCACAUUUCUGACAAAAACUCACUGUGGACAUUGAUAUCUAAGGGACCAGCAGAAAAUAAGACCCCUCUGGUGCUGCUGCAUGGAUUUGGGGGCGGUGUGGGACUCUGGGCAUUGAACCUAGACUCCCUUUCGCAACAGAGACCCGUUUACGCCUUUGACCUGCUGGGCUUUGGGCAGAGCAGCAGACCUCACUUCAACACAGAUGCCCAGGAGGCUGAGAUUCAGUUUGUGGAGUCCAUCGAACAGUGGAGGGAGAAACUUGGCCUGGAAAGUAUGGUUAUGGUGGGACAUAACCUAGGAGGAUAUCUGGCUGCUUCCUACGCAAUCACAUACCCAACCAGAGUAAAGCACCUGAUUCUGGUGGAACCGUGGGGUUUCCCAGAGCGACCCGAGCCAGGAAACCAAGACAGGCCGAUUCCAGUGUGGAUCAAAGCUAUAGGAGCAAUGCUGAGCCCAUUCAACCCGCUUGCUGGGCUCAGAUUGGCUGGACCUUUAGGUCCCACUCUUGUGCAAACACUGAGACCCGACUUCAAAAAGAAAUUUGCAACUAUGUUUGAUGACAACAGAGUCACAGAAUACAUCUACCAUCUUAAUGUCCAAAGUCCAAGUGGUGAAACAGCCUUUAAAAACAUGACCAUUCCAUAUGGCUGGGCAAAGAGGCCCAUGCUGCAGAGAAUUGGCCUGAUUCACGACGACAUCCCCAUUACCGUGAUCUAUGGCUCACGCUCCAGCAUAGAUGGCCACUCCGGCAAUUCAAUCAAAGAAAUGAGGCCAAACUCCCAUGUCGAGAUCAUUGUCAUACGAGGUGCCGGACACUAUGUUUAUGCUGACCAGCCUGAGGAUUUCAACCAGAAGAUACUUCAUGUCUGUGAUACAAUAAGCUGA